CCUUUUGCAUCAUGGUUUAACCAGUAAAAUCAGGCAAAAAGAAUUACAGUCUGAUACCCCGAAACUAAGUGAGCUACUCUAGGACAGCCUAACGGGCCAACCCGUCUCUGUUGCAAAAGAGUGGGAAGAUCUUAGAGUAGAAAUGAUAUAUCUAGCGAACUUAGCGAUAGCUGGUUACUCAGGAAAAGAAUUUCAGUUCAGCCUAAAACUAUAAUAAUACUUAAAAAUACAAACCUAGCUUUAGAGUAAAUCAAGUAGGUAACAGCCUAUCUGAAACAGGAUACAACCUCCAUCUAUGGGUAAUGUUACAUUUAAAUAACUAAGUAGGCCUAAAAGCAGCCACCUUUAAAAUAGCGUCAAAGCUUAAUUAUUAUACCCAAUAAAUCCCCAAAACAAACUAAAACCCUACCUAAGCACUGAGUAAUUCCAUACAUAUAUGGAAAAUAUAAUGUUAAAACUAGUAACAUGAAGUUUAACCCUUCUCUUAAAUGUAAGUGUAAAUCAGAAUGGAACACACACUGACAACUAACAGCUUAAACUAUAGUAACAAACUUAUUCAAGAAAACCCUACUACUCUCCCCUGUUAACCUAACACAAGAACAUUUUAAGAAAGACUUAAAGAAAAAGAAGGAACUCGGCAAAAUUGAUUCCGCCUGUUUACCAAAAACAUCGCCUCCUGAACCUAAGCUAUAGGAGGUCCAGCCUGCCCAGUGACUCUGUUUAACGGCCGCGGUAUCCUAACCGUGCGAAGGUAGCGUAAUCACCUGUUUUUUAAUUAAAGACCUGUAUGAAAGGCAUCACGAGAAUCAAACUGUCUCCUUUCUCAAGUCCGUGAAACUAAUCUCCUCGUGAAAAAGCGAGAAUAUUAAUACAAGACGAGAAGACCCUUUGGAGCUUAAGACAAAAUAAAUACCUGCCCCCUUCAUCUCUCAUAUACCUCAUAACACUCUAUUUAUAAGUCUUGGGUUGGGGCAACCACGGAGUAAAAGAAAACCUCCGAGCUGAACGGAAAUUUCCUAAACAAAAAGCAACAGCUUUAUGUAUCAAUAAACUGACACAAUUUGACCCAAUAUAUUUGAUUAACGAACCAAGUUACCCCAGGGAUAACAGCGCAAUCCACUUAAAGAGUUCAUAUCGAAAAGUGGGCUUACGACCUCGAUGUUGGAUCAAGGUACCCCGGUGGUGCAGCCGCUACCAA
rnacentral:rRNA from 1 species